UACAGAGGUUGCAAGCGUUGUUCGGAUUUAUUGGGCGUAAAGGGUCCGUAGGCGGUUUGGAAAGUCGGGUGUGAAAUCCUACAGCUUAACUGUAGAACUGCAUUCGAAACUUCCAGACUAGAGUAUGAGAGGGGUUAAGGGAAUUCCCGGUGUAAGGGUGAAAUCUGCAGAGAUCGGGAGGAACACCAGUCGCGAAGGCGCUUAACUGGCUCAUUACUGACGCUCAGGGACGAAAGCUAGGGUAGCAAACGGGAUUAGAAACCCGUGUAGU
rnacentral:rRNA from 1 species